rnacentral:rRNA from 1 species
AUUGAACGCUGGCGUCAGGCCUAACACAUGCAAGUCGAACGAGUGGCGGACGGGUGAGUAAUGUCUGGUAAACUGCCUGAUGGAGGGGGAUAACUACUGGAAACGGUAGCUAAUACCGCAUACUAUCAGAUGUGCCCAGAUGGGAUUAGCUAGUUGGUGGUGUAACGGCUCACCAAGGCGACGAUCCCUAGCUGGUCUGAGAGGAUGACCAGCCACACUGGAACUGAGACACGGUCCAGACUCCUACGGGAGGCAGCAGUGGGGAAUAUUGGACAAUGGGCGAAAGCCUGAUGCAGCCAUGCCGCGUGUAUGAAGAAGGCCUUCGGAUUGUAAAGUACUUUAAGCGGGGAGGCGUUACCAGCAGAAGAAGCACCGGCUAACUCCGUGCCAGCAGCCGCGGUAAUUC